rnacentral:rRNA from 1 species
GCAUAUCAAUAAGCGGAGGAAAAGAAACUAACAAGGAUUCCCCUAGUAACUGCGAGUGAAGCGGGAAAAGCUCAAAUUUAAAAUCUGGCGGUCUCCGGCCGUCCGAGUUGUAAUUUAGAGAAGCGUUAUCCGUGCUGGACCGUGUAUAAGUCUCCUGGAAUGGAGCGUCAUAGAGGGUGAGAAUCCCGUCUUUGACACGGACUACCAGUGCAUUGUGAUGCGCUCUCGACGAGUCGAGUUGUUUGGGAAUGCAGCUCAAAAUGGGUGGUAAAUGCCAUCUAAAGCUAAAUAUUGGCGAGAGACCGAUAGCGAACAAGUACCGUGAGGGAAAGAUGAAAAGAACUUUGGAAAGAGAGUUAAACAGUACGUGAAAUUGUCGAAAGGGAAACGGUUGCAGUCAGUCGCGUCCGCCGGGGAUCAACCUUGCUUUUGCUUGGCGUAUUUCCCGGUGGAUGGGUCAGCAUCAGUUUUGACCGCAGUYGAAAGGCUGGAGGAAUGUGGCACCUUCGGGUGUGUUAUAGCCUCCUGUCAUAUGCUGCGGUUGGGACUGAGGAACUCAGCACGCCGCAAGGCCGGGAUUCGUCCACGUUCGUGCUUAGGAUGCUGGCAUAAUGUCUGUAACCGACCCGUCUUGAAACACGGACC